CAUAAACAGUGUUGUCAUAUACCGUACGACAAUCAGGGACUGCGUCGCUGGGGAAAAAUAUGUGCUAAUUGCGCGGAUAGUUAAAAGAAAUAGCUUAUAUACCAAAAAAUAGUUAAAGUCGCGUCUGAAAUUAGAUAAUUACAAUCAAUAGUAUUUAUAAUGAACAUAUACAACAAAUUGCGUAGCAGAGAACAUGGACUGGCCAAUGAGCGUACUUAUGAUUUUGCGCUGAGUCGCCUGUGCGUGUCCAGGCAGGACAGCUGGCGUGGCAUUGCCCCAGCCAACUACAGUCCGGACUUCAACCCAGAGCCGCCCAUAUUCUCAGCCAAGUUCGCCAACUGCGAUGGCUACAGACACAUUUUGGCCAUUGCCAACGAGGAUGGCAAGAUUGCGCUACAGGAUACCACAGAGCGUAACCAGGAGCCGGAGGAGCAGUCGCUGAGUGCGCCACAGUGUCAUUUUAAUGCCGUUUUCGACCUAGAAUGGGCGCCAGGACAGAUGCGGUUUGUGUCGGCCUCCGGUGAUCACACGGCUCGUCUGUGGGAGGUCGCCGGCUCUGGGAUACGUGGUCUCAAUUCCUAUGUGGGCCACACACGUUCUGUGAAAACAGCCGCAUUUAAGCGCACGGAUCCGGCAGUGUUUGCGACAGGCGGACGCGAUGGUGCCAUCCUUAUCUGGGACAUUCGGGCUAACCUUAAUAUGGAUCUGACCUCACGCGUCGACAAUUGUAUUUACAGCGGCCACACCGGUGGUCCGGGCACGCCACAAUCUCAACGGAAACAGCGCACUCGCACGCCUAAAAUGGCAAACAACAGCAACACCUCCAGCAGCAUUACGGGCUUGGCCUUUCAAGACAACGAUACGCUCAUCUCAUGCGGCGCUGGCGACGGCGUCAUAAAAGUGUGGGAUCUGAGGCGAAAUUAUACCGCAUACAAAAAAGAGCCACUGCCGCGUCAGAGCUUACCCUAUGCGGGUCAAUCAACAUUUAAGGGCUUCACCAAUCUUAUUGUGGAUGCGGCGGGCACACGUUUGUAUGCCAAUUGCAUGGAUAACACCAUCUAUUGCUACAAUUUGGUUUCAUAUGCGCCUAAGCCGCUGGCCUGCUAUAAAGGCCUGCUCAACUCGACUUUCUACAUCAAAAGCUGCCUCAGUCCGGACGGCAAAUAUCUGCUGAGUGGGAGCAGUGAUGAGCGCGCUUAUAUAUGGAAUCUGGAACAUGCGGCUGAGCCGCUGGUUGCAUUGGCGGGCCACACUGUCGAGGUCACGUGCGUGGCAUGGGGCGCCACACAUGAUCGUCCGAUUGUCACGUGCAGCGAUGAUGCGCGCCACAAGAUCUGGCGUAUCGGGCCUGCGCCGGAGACAUUGACAGCCGCUGAGGUAGCGGAACAAUAUCGCGGCCAGGCGAGCUAUGUACGUCAAUUCGAUAGGCAGCAGCCAAACGCUGCAACACAACAUAAGUAUAAUCUCAGAGAUCUGGAGUCUACGCCGCGCUCUCUUAAGCGUCUCAUGGAGAUGAAUGAACGCACGCCAAGCUCUGUAGAAAAGACGACCAUCAAGCGUUCCUUUCUGGAGAUGCUAGGCGCGACAAGUAACGAUGCAAACAUGGAGCAGCCGCAUCAGAAGCGCACAAAGCCACUCGAGUCCAGGGGUCGACGCUUAUUUGGACCAAGCUGCACCAGCAGCCAGCAGCUACCAGCUAUUGGCGAGGAGGAAUGCACCAUGCCCGCCUGCAAUCAGGAGAAUGCUGCCGACGACAUCUCGCCGCUAACCUGCACAGCUGCAGCUGCUACUCGAUUGCAGCAGCCAUCGCCACUUAGUGAGCAUCAUAUAAAUCACAUUCCAUACACCUCGCCACCUACAACAUCAGCGCAAGCGGGGGCAGCAAACGCAAGCACCACUUCGCCAACCGCGCUCUCUUUAAUUUACUCGCCCACCUCGAACCUGCCCAACUAUGUGCUAGACGGCGAGGCGCCGCAUUUGGGCAUCAUGUCGCCCAAACGUAAAGCCAAAGAGAAGGUCGACUGGCUAACCAAAAUACGCAAACAGAAGCUCAUGUCAAACAGCCGGGCGACGCUUACGCUCGCUGAAAAGAUGAGCAUCGAGGAGACGCUCGAUGUAAUGGCCUCGCCCCGUCUACAAAGCCUGCGCAACUCCGAAUGCAGUCCCAGACUGCAGGCCACACCUAGGCGACGCAUUUCACACAACGAUACCGGCGCCCCACACUUACGCACGCCGACCUCCAGCCGGCGGAACAGUGAGACGACGCUCCUACGAUUCUUCAGCGUGCAACGCAGCAGCGGCAGUGGCAGUGAUGCCUCUGCUGCUGCUGAGGAUGAAACGCACGGCCUUGUGGAGCUGCCUGUCAUUUCGCCGCCGUCGCCAGCAACAUCUACGUUGACGCUGCGCACGCCAACGACUGUCGUCGGCAGCGACUGACACCCAGAAGACGGAUCUGGGAUCCACCCAUCCCAUAUAUAGUGUUAACUGGACAUACCUUAAGCUAUUUCUAUGCAUAUACAAUUGUUAUUGAUCAUUGCGAUUUUUUGGACGUCUUUGGUUGACCAUUUUGUAAAGUAGAUUGUUCCUGCCGCUGCUGUUGCUUUACCGUAGCGUUGAGCCUCAGGAUGCGGUAAACGUGGCGUCCCACACCCACAAGCAGAAUUAAAUGACACAAGUGAA